GACGAACGCUGGCGGCGUGCUUAACACAUGCAAGUCGAACGGAAAGGCCCUGCUUUUGUGGGGUGCUCGAGUGGCGAACGGGUGAGUAACACGUGAGCAACCUGCCCUUGACUUUGGGAUAACUUCAGGAAACUGGGGCUAAUACCGGAUAGGGGCUCCUGCUGCAUGGUGGGGGUUGGAAAGUUUCGGCGGUUGGGGAUGGACUCGCGGCUUAUCAGCUUGUUGGUGGGGUAGUGGCUUACCAAGGCUUUGACGGGUAGCCGGCCUGAGAGGGUGACCGGCCACAUUGGGACUGAGAUACGGCCCAGACUCCUACGGGAGGCAGCAGUGGGGAAUAUUGCACAAUGGGCGGAAGCCUGAUGCAGCAACGCCGCGUGCGGGAUGACGGCCUUCGGGUUGUAAACCGCUUUCGCCUGUGACGAAGCGUGAGUGACGGUAAUGGGUAAAGAAGCACCGGCUAACUACGUG
rnacentral:rRNA from 1 species